AGAGGGUGCCAGGCCCGUGGUGACGGUAGCCGGCCGCGACGGUCUCUCUCCCAAGAGUCGGGUUGCUUGAGAGUGCAGCCGUAAGUGGGUGGUAAACUCCAU
rnacentral:rRNA from 1 species